GAUGAACGCUAGCGGCAGGCCUAAUACAUGCCAGUCGAACGAGAUUAAGAGGCUUGCUUCUUAUGAAAGUGGCGCACGGGUGCGUAACGCGUAUGCAACCUACCUUAAUCAGGGGGAUAGCCCGAAGAAAUUCGGAUUAAGACCGCAUAAAAACACAGGAUAGCAUUAUCCAAUGUUCAAAUAUUUAUAGGAUUAAGAUGGGCAUGCGUGUCAUUAGCUAGUUGGCGGGGUAACGGCCCACCAAGGCGACGAUGACUAGGGGAUCUGAGAGGAUGACCCCCACACUGGUACUGAGACACGGACCAGACUCCUACGGGAGGCAGCAGUAAGGAAUAUUGGUCAAUGGAGGGAACUCUGAACCAGCCAUGCCGCGUGCAGGAAGACAGCCCUCUGGGUCGUAAACUGCUUUUAGUCGGGAAUAAACCUUUCUACGUGUAGGAAGCUGAAUGUACCGAAGGAAUAAGGAUCGGCUAACUCCGUG
rnacentral:rRNA from 1 species